GUUGAGGAAGAGGAUGGUGUGAGAGAUGGUGGAGGUGCAAACAGGGAACCAAAAGAUGAUCGAGGUGCAAAUAGGGAACCAAAACUAGACAUGUUAUUAUAGGAUUAGCUCUUUUCCGAAAAUAUUAUUGGCUUUUGCACCUCUUCGUUGACUAAUAUUAUUAACCAUAACUAAAAUCCAAACUGGAUAUCAUACCGUCCACUACUUAAUUACUCCACUAUUGCCU
rnacentral:misc_RNA from 1 species